AACGCUAGCUACAGGCUUAACACAUGCAAGUCGAGGGGAAACGACAUCGAAAGCUUGCUUUUGAUGGGCGUCGACCGGCGCACGGGUGAGUAACGCGUAUCCAACCUGCCCACCACUUGGGGAUAACCUUGCGAAAGUAAGACUAAUACCCAAUGAUAUCUCUAGAAGGCAUCAGAAAGAGAUUAAAGAUUUAUCGGUGAUGGAUGGGGAUGCGUCUGAUUAGCUUGUUGGCGGGGUAACGGCCCACCAAGGCUACGAUCAGUAGGGGUUCUGAGAGGAAGGUCCCCCACAUUGGAACUGAGACACGGUCCAAACUCCUACGGGAGGCAGCAGUGAGGAAUAUUGGUCAAUGGGCGAGAGCCUGAACCAGCCAAGUAGCGUGCAGGACGACGGCCCUAUGGGUUGUAAACUGCUUUUAUAAGGGAAUAAAGUGAGUCUCGUGAGACUUUUUGCAUGUACCUUAUGAAUAAGGACCGGCUAAUUCCGUGCCAGCAGCCGCGGUAAUACGGAAGGUCCGGGCGUUAUCCGGAUUUAUUGGGUUUAAAGGGAGCGUAGGCCGGAGAUUAAGCGUGUUGUGAAAUGUAGAGGCUCAACCUCUGCACUGCAGCGCGAACUGGUCUUCUUGAGUACGCACAACGUGGGCGGAAUUCGUGGUGUAGCGGUGAAAUGCUUAGAUAUCACGAAGAACUCCGAUUGCGAAGGCAGCUCACGGGAGCGCAACUGACGCUGAAGCUCGAAAGUGCGGGUAUCGAACAGGAUUAGAUACCCUGGUAGUCCGCACGGUAAACGAUGGAUGCCCGCUGUUGGCCUGAAUAGGU
rnacentral:rRNA from 1 species